GUGGGGAAUUGUUCGCAAUGGGCGCAAGCCUGACGACGCAACGCCGCGUGGAGGAUGAAGGUCUUCGGAUUGUAAACUCCUGUUGCCCGGGACGAAUGGCUUCGACCUAACACGUCGAAGUUUGACGGUACCGGGUGAGGAAGCCCCGGCUAACUCUGUGCCAGCAGCCGCGGUAAUACAGAGGGGGCAAGCGUUGUUCGGAAUUACUGGGCGUAAAGGGCGCGUAGGCGGCCUUCUAAGUCGAACGUGAAAUCCCCGGGCUCAACCCGGGAACUGCGUCCGAUACUGGAAGGCUUGAAUCCGGGAGAGGGAUGCGGAAUUCCAGGUGUAGCGGUGAAAUGCGUAGAUAUCUGGAGGAACACCGGUGGCGAAGGCGGCAUCCUGGACCGGUAUUGACGCUGAGGCGCGAAAGCCAGGGGAGCAAACGGGAUUAGAUACCCCAGUAGUCC
rnacentral:rRNA from 1 species